rnacentral:rRNA from 1 species
UACGUAGGUGGCGAGCGUUGUCCGGAAUUAUUGGGCGUAAAGAGCGUGUAGGUGGGAUCAUAAGUCUUUUGUCAAAGUGCGGGGCUCAACCCCGUGAUGCGGAGGAAACUGUGAUUCUUGAGUGCCGGAGAGGAAAGCGGAAUUCCCAGUGUAGCGGUGAAAUGCGUAGAUAUUGGGAGGAACACCAGUGGCGAAGGCGGCUUCUGGACGGUGUCUGACACUGAGGCGCGAAAGCCAGGGGAGACGCAAGCGG